ACAGAAAACAAAACAAAACAAAAAAAAAACCAACCUCCACUCCAAACGUUUAACUAAAGAGAGAGGUAUGAGCCAGGGUCAAGACAUCUAGAAAGGGUGAGGAGAGGCUCUACCAGCAGGAAGCUCUUCCCACCCCAGUGUCUGAAGGGCAGCUGACAAGAGAAUCUCACUGGAUUUAUGGAGGAGAGACUACCUAAGGGGAGCAGUAAAAAUGAGAGUGCAGCUCUGCCCAGAUGGCCAUGUGAAGUUGGAGUGGGCCAGGAUUCCCCCAGUUGGACUCUCACAUACCUGUGGACCUCAAGUGCUCCUUCAUAUGUGUUUUCAAUGAACUUCAUCCAAACCACAUCAAAUGGCUGUGUAUAACACUAAGGAAAUGUCAUAUUGUCUCCUAGUCCUCUACCAUGUCUUUUACACACACUGAAGAUCAUGUGAAGAAAGAGAGAAGAUGGUCAUCUAUACACCAAGUUAAACGACCCUCAGAAGAAACCAACCCUAUGGACAACUUGAUCUUGAACUUCUAGCUUUCAGACCUGUGAGAAAAUAAAUUGCUGUUGUUUAAAUUUAAAAAAACAGUCUUUUAAAUCAUGUAUGAAACAAAGUGUUGUUACAAACCAUUGUUAUAAUAGUACUAGCUUUUGUAAUUGCCUAUUUGUCCAUCUUUACUGAGAUCUUUAUUUCUUCAUAUGGCUUUGAGUUACUGAGUAGUGUCCUUUUAUUUCAACCUGAAGAACUCCCUUGAGUGUUUCUCUUAGGGUAUGUCUAGAAGUAACAGAUUACCUUAGCUUUCGUUAAUCUGGGAAUGUUGUAAUUCUCCUUCACUUUUGAAGGACAAUUUUUACCAAAUAUAGAAUUUGGGGUUGAUAUUUUUAUUUAUUUUAGCACUUUGAAUAUAUCAGCCCACUGCCUUUUGGUCUCCAGUAUUUAUGAUGAGACUCUCUUUUUUUAAUCUCAUAAUUUACUAUUUAUUAUUUUUAAAUGUUUCUAGAGAUAUACAGUAAUUAAACAUAUUUGUGGGAUACACAUGAUAUUUUGAUACAAGAAUAUACAAUGUGUAAGCUGUAUAUUCAAUAUACAAUCAGUGAUCAAAUCAGGAUAUUUAUUAGGAUAUACAUCAACUUGAACAUUUAUCAUUUCUUUGUGUUGGGAGUAUUUUAAAUCUUCUUUACUAGCUUUCAUGAAAUAUAAAAUAUUGUUAACUAGUCAUUCCACUGUGUUAUCAAACACUAGAACUUAUUCCCCCAUCUGCACUAUAUCUUUGAACCUAUAAUCUUAUUGAUGAUCUUUUUAUGUGAUGAAUCACUUUUCUAUUGCAACUUUCAAGACUCUGUGUUUGGCUUUUGACAGUUUGAUUAUAUUGUGUCUCAGUGUGGAUCUUUUUGAGUUCAUCCUACUUGGAGUUACUGAGUUUCUUGAAUAUUUUUACUUAUGUCUUUUAUCAAAUUUGUAAAGACUUUGGCCAUCAAUUCUCUUAAUAAUCUAUCUUUCCUGUUUUCUCUUCUGUUUCUUAGCCUACCACCACACGUGUUGUUCUGCUCAACAGUGUUCCAGAAGUCCCUUAAGCUCUGUUCACUUUUCUUCAAUCAUUUUACUUUCUGUUCCUCAGAUUCAAUGAUUUCCUUUGUCCUAUUUCAAAUUUGUUGAUUCUUCUUCGUUCUCAAAUCAGCCUUUGAAUCUCUCUAGUGAAUUUUUUAUUUCAGUUAUAACACUUUUUAGCAUCAAAUUUAUUGUUUCUUCAUAGGUUUUCUAUAUGUUUGCAAAUAUUUCUAUUUUGUCCUUAUGUCAUUUUCUUGGCUUUUUCUGCAUCUUUUGUUAGCUCUUUCAGUAUCUUUAAGAUAAUUGUUUUUGUUUAGUAGAUCUGACAUCAGGUCUUUUUCAGGAGCUGCUUCUUUUUUUCCCAUUAAAAUGGGCCACACAUUCCUUUUCUUUUGUAUGUCUCUUGAUUUUUUUUGUUAAAAAUGGACAUUUGAAGCUAAUGAUUUGAUAACACUGGAAAUUAGGUUCUCUCCCUUCCCUGGGGUUUACUGGGCUUUUGUUUUUGGUUUUGUUUUUUUGUUGUUGUUGUUGCUUACUGUUUUUGUUUUUUUAAUUGUUGUAGGCUGUCUCAGUGCUGAGGGUUAGCCUGAGCUUAAGGUUAGGCUAACCUGACCUUAAGGUAAACUUAAGGUCUUCUCAGGUCUUUCUGAGCCUGUGCCUUUCCCUGGGCAUACAUAGUCACCUUCCAAUAUCCCCCAUAUAUGCAGUCACUUCGGAAUGUCCCAGUCUCUAAUGGAUGGCUCCCAAAAGGGGAAAAGAUAAAAAUUAAGGAGAAGAAAAAGAAUGCUGGGUUUUUAAGUACCCUGGAAGUCACCUCAGCGAGAGAGGGGCUAGCAAUAAUGAGGGUGGGGCAAUAGCAAUGGCCACCUGCCUCUUUGUCUGUACUUCUGUGAUGAGAAGCAGCAAUUAAUAAUCACAGCACAAAUACUUGGAGGACUGGGUCCUUAUUGCCCACCCUGGCUCCCACAAGCUGUAUGCAGUCUUCUUCAGGUCAUGGGCACAGCUGCCUGCCACAGGGCUGGGGCGGUCAAUAGGUAGUUACUACUGUGCUGAGUCUAAGUUGACCAAAACUAACUGAAAUUUACUUCUAAGACAUUCCCUGGAAGUUGCAAGCCUUCAAUAGACUCCAGAAUUCCAAAAUAGUUACAUCAGGCAGAUUCUGCCAGUGCAGUUGUUGUCUGGAUGGGUAAACAGAUUCCUGGAGCUUCCUAUUUCAGCAUCUUGCCAGAAUCUUCUCCCUAUGUGUAUUUAUUUUAUCACAUCUUGAGAUAGUUUUUGUUUCAGAACUUUGCUAUCCACUAUGCUGAGUAGAACUUCAAGAGCUGUCCCUGUGUCUAAUAGACUAGAAGUGGUAGAUUUCAGCCUGGGAGUACACACUGCGGUCACAACCAUCCAUAUGGCAGGAAGUAGUCUACUGAGUUUUUGGCGGCCAUGAUUCUUUGGCAUUUCUGGUUUGGUGGUCGUUGAUUCCUAAAUAUUAAAGUGGUUCCCAGCAUGUAUCAGUUGUUUGUUUGCUAAAUGACCUUAAAUGUUCUGAUACUUGCAGAAAUGAAAAAAGCUAGUUUCUCUGUCAAUAAGACUCUGAUCUGAAUGUGAAUAAAUAUGCAUGAGCAGUAACUUAAUGCACAUCUGGAAAAUAUGCUUUGUUAGAAAUCUAUCACUAUUUUUUUUAAUUUGGAGAGUUUUUCUCAAGAACAAUAGAAUGUAAUAAAAUUUAAGGAAGUGCAUUUUACAAAAAGUAUCAAAGACUUUAUUAAACAUCAACUCUUUACUUGAAGAAAUAAUGUUGUUUAAAAAAAUCAAUCUUGUGAAUUGUCUCCUGGGAAGUUUGUCAGUGAUUUCUUUCUUUCUUGUUCUUUUUUGUCCUUAUAUAAAGUAACCAAGCUUUAUUCCUAUAAGCUGUAAAUUUUAACAGAAAGCAGAUUCACAUGUAUUUAUUAACAUUCCUAAAUUCUCAACACCACUUAUUAAUCCCUUAAAAACGAUUGCUUCUUUAUAUGAAGAUAAUGGUAGUCAUAAAGACAUACAUUAUAGUUUCAUUAUGAUGUUUGUGCUUUGUCUCAAGUUUCUUCUGAAAUGCCUCCACUGAGUUAGGUGAUAAUGACAGCACUCAGACACACAGCCCAGAGGAAGGGGACAAAGGAAUCCCAGGAAAGAAGUAGGAAAAGGUAUUUGGUUAGAAUUUAAAGUCAAGUGGAGGAAUCAGUGAACCAGAAAACAGACAGGGGAGGCUGCUUGUUCAUCUGGAGCUUACAGCAGCAGCAGGAGUUGGAAUUCACAAAGCAAAUGGCUGAGAUGGGGGUGCCGGAGCACAGGAGUGACAGACCAGGGUAGGAUGCAGCAGCCUCUACUCUGGGAAGAGGGUCCCAGCCACUACUGGGCACCAUCUCCUUUUGAGGGGUGGACCCACGCAGCAUUUAAGGAGGAAGCCCAGUAGAUCUGGUUAAUUAACGUGGUAAUGGGACUCCCUAGAAUUUAAGUCCAAAGCAUGGUGUGAUUUUCUUUGUUGAGCUACCACAUAUUGAAGUUCAGGAAAGAAACCACCCAGUUGAUAUAGCAAUAGUAUACAAAACCUGCUGGAUUAUGAGAAAUUUCCAACAUUCUUUAUUAUGUAAGCAAACACUUUUAAUGCUUAACUGUGAUAGGUUUGGAACUUUUUUUUCCAAGUUGUUACACAGAAGGAAAGCAAGAAAGAAAGCAUGAAGGCCAAUUAGAAGGAUCAUUCAAUAUUUCUCAGAAAAGAGAAUGAUGGCUUAGACCAGUGGUGAUGUUCAAAAUCUUACAAAGGUAGAAGACUAGCAACAUUUGUGACUGAAUUGGAUAAGGAAGUGUGUGAGAGAGAGGAGCCAAAGGUGACUUGAUUCUUCCUUUUCUGGGCAAAUGGAGGAAGGGAGAUUGUAUUUAUGAAGAUGGAGGUCUGUGGGAGGUUUUGUGGGGAAAGAUUGGGGGAGUUCAAUUUUGGACAUGUUAACUUUGAGAUCUCUGUUAGAUGUAGAGAUCUACAAGUCUUUACAAGUAGAGAUGUCAAGAAAGCAUUUGGAUAUAAAACCCUAGAAUCCAAAAGGUAAAGAAUUGGUUUGGUAGUUGUUGGUAUGUAGAUAGAAUUUCAAGCUAUGAGACUGGAUUUGAGCAUCUGAAAAAAUACUCAAUAUCUGAAAUGUCUGUUAAGUAGAUCCAGAAAAAAUGAAAGGACGUAUUAACUAAAACAUCAGUAUUCAAGGAACAAUAAAGAUAGAAUUUAUAACUGGGCUUCUGAGAGAGGUGGACAGAUUUACAGAAGACUGAAGCUGGGAAACACCUAACCCCAGCUAAGACACACCAUGAUUGUCUAAUUUAUGCCUGUACCCCGAAUAGGUGUCAGAGUGCCUGAAACAUCAUAGAUGGCCAUUCAAUAUCUGACAAAUGAUAAAUGAAUGGAUGAAUAAAUGAAGGAAAGAAAGCUUGGUGGAAGGGCAGUCAGGCUUCCUGGAGAUGGGGCUGGGCUGCGGGGGGUACUAUGUAGCAAUUGGGUGUCCCUGGGUCUUCCCACACUGGCUGUUUUCUUGGUUAUGUAUGACUAUUCCUUAGGCUAUGACUCUUUGACUUUCUUGCCUGUGGUAUGAAAAUUACGCUUACUAUCUACCUUUUCUUUUACAAUAGGGAUUCACGGAUGAGUGCUUAGGAAUCACUAGGCUGAGAAAGGGAAGGGUGAAUAAACCAGAAACCCCCUAGAGAAGCUCAGGGAAAGUCAUUAUUGUAGGGUUUACUACAGUCACAUUCUUUUAUCUUGCAGCACAAGUUCUUGGCAUAGAAUACCAAUGAGCUGAGGCACAUUACUAAUUUGCCAGAUCGACAUAGCCUCUAGGGAGAAAAGCAAAAAAGCAUUCCUAUUAACUUCAGCAUUGGGAUAAUUUGAAUCUCUCUUCUAAGACAUCUUGUCUCUUUUUUGGUUAAUUACUGUGGCAAACCUUAUUUUCUCUUUAAAUUAAGCCAUGAGAUGCCUUUAAUUCAACUAGGCUGCUACUAAAAUGUGGUUUUCAUGGGAAGGAAUUAGGAGUCUUUCUUUUGAGAAAAAACAUAUAUCAUGUUGACUGUUGUCUCUUUGCCACUGAUGUUGGAGAGGAUGACCUUAUGUCACUAGCCCACACCUGUGGAAUAAGACGCUCAUUUACAAACCUGCUCCGAAGAAGAAGGUAAGGAUGCUGUUCCUGCACAGUCAUGAACGGCUGCUGUUCCUCUUGAAA